UGCAAGUCGAGCGGCAGCACGGGGAGCUUGCUCCCUGGUGGCGAGCGGCGGACGGGUGAGUAAUGCAUAGGAAUCUGCCCGGUAGUGGGGGAUAACGUGGGGAAACCCACGCUAAUACCGCAUACGUCCUACGGGAGAAAGCGGAGGAUCUUCGGACUUCGCGCUAUCGGAUGAGCCUAUGUCGGAUUAGCUAGUUGGUAAGGUAACGGCUUACCAAGGCGACGAUCCGUAGCUGGUCUGAGAGGAUGAUCAGCCACACUGGGACUGAGACACGGCCCAGACUCCUACGGGAGGCAGCAGUGGGGAAUAUUGGACAAUGGGCGAAAGCCUGAUCCAGCCAUGCCGCGUGUGUGAAGAAGGCUUUCGGGUUGUAAAGCACUUUCAGCGAGGAAGAAAGCCUGCCGGUUAAUACCCGGCAGGAACGACAUCACUCGCAGAAGAAGCACCGGCUAACUCCGUGCCAGCAGCCGCGGUAAUACGGAGGGUGCGAGCGUUAAUCGGAAUUACUGGGCGUAAAGCGCGCGUAGGUGGCUUGGCACGCCAGGUGUGAAAGCCCCGGGCUCAACCUGGGAACGGCAUCUGGAACGGCCAAGCUAGAGUGCAGGAGAGGAAGGUGGAAUUCCCGGUGUAGCGGUGAAAUGCGUAGAGAUCGGGAGGAAUACCAGUGGCGAAGGCGGCCUUCUGGCCUGACACUGACACUGAGGUGCGAAAGCGUGGGUAGCAAACAGGAUUAGAUACCCUGGUAGUCCACGCCGUAAACGAUGUCGACUAGCCGUUGGGACCUUUAAGGACUUAGUGGCGCAGUUAACGCGAUAAGUCGACCGCCUGGGGAGUACGGCCGCAAGGUUAAAAC
rnacentral:rRNA from 1 species